rnacentral:rRNA from 1 species
AACGAACGCUGGCGGCAGGCCUAACACAUGCAAGUCGAACGCCCUAGCAAUAGGGAGUGGCAGACGGGUGAGUAACACGUGGGAACCUUCCCUAUACUACGGAAUAGCCCAGGGAAACUUGGAGUAAUACCGUAUCCGCCCGAGAGGGGAAAGAUUUAUCGGUAAAGGAUGGGCCCGGGCCGGAUUAGCUAGUUGGUGAGGUAAUGGCUCACCAAGGCGACGAUCCGUAGCUGGUUUGAGAGAACGAACAGCCACACUGGGACUGAGGACACGGCCCAGACUCCUACGGGAGGCAGCAGUGGGGAAUAUUGGACAAUGGGCGCAAGCCUGAUCCAGCCAUGCCGCGCGAGUGAUGAAGGCCUUAGGGUUGUAAAGCUCUUUUGCCGGGGACGAUAAUGACGGUACCCGGAGAAUAAGUCCCGGCUAACUUCGUGCCAGCCGCCGCAGUAA